rnacentral:rRNA from 1 species
AGCAGCAGCCGCGGGAAUACGAAGGGUGCAAGCGUUAAUCGGAAUUACUGGGCGUAAAGCGCGCGUAGGUGGUUUGGUAAGAUGGAUGUGAAAUCCCCGGGCUCAACCUGGGAACUGCAUCCAUAACUGCCUGACUAGAGUACGGUAGAGGGUGGUGGAAUUUCCUGUGUAGCGGUGAAAUGCGUAGAUAUAGGAAGGAACACCAGUGGCGAAGGCGACCACCUGGACUGAUACUGACACUGAGGUGCGAAAGCGUGGGGAGCAAACAGGAUUAGAUACCCCAGUAGUCCCUGUCUCUUAUAC